AGUGAACGCUGGCGGUAGGCCUAACACAUGCAAGUCGAACGGCAGCACAGUAAGAGCUUGCUCUUACGGGUGGCGAGUGGCGGACGGGUGAGGAAUACAUCGGAAUCUAUUUUUUCGUGGGGGAUAACGUAGGGUAACUUACGCUAAUACCGCAUACGACCUACGGGUGAAAGCAGGGGAUCUUCGGACCUUGCGCGAUUGAAUGAGCCGAUGUCGGAUUAGCUAGUUGGCGGGGUAAAGGCCCACCAAGGCGACGAUCCGUAGCUGGUCUGAGAGGAUGAUCAGCCACACUGGAACUGAGACACGGUCCAGACUCCUACGGGAGGCAGCAGUGGGGAAUAUUGGACAAUGGGCGCAAGCCUGAUCCAGCCAUACCGCGUGGGUGAAGAAGGCCUUCGGGUUGUAAAGCCCUUUUGUUGGGAAAGAAAAGCAGCAGGUUAAUACCCCGCUGUUCUGACGGUACCCAAAGAAUAAGCACCGGCUAACUUCGUG
rnacentral:rRNA from 1 species